rnacentral:rRNA from 1 species
UGUGGUAAUGAUGGCAAGAAGGACACACCUGUUCCCAUCUCGAACACAGAAGUUAAGCUUCUUUAUUCUUUUAGUUUCUUAAAGGCACUUGUAAUAGAGGGGGCUUUAU